AGAGUUUGAUUCUGGCGUCAGGAUGAACGCUGGCGGCGUGCCUAACACAUGCAAGUCGAGCGGAGAUAAGUGAAGCCUAGCGAUCUUAUCUUAGCGGCGGGUGGGUGAGUAACACGUGGGUAACCUGCCCUGCACUGGGGAAUAACAGCUGGAAACGGCUGUUAAUGCCGCAUAUGCGCACGGAGCCGCAUGGCUUUGGGCGGAAAGAUUUAUCGGUGCAGGAUGGGCCCGCGCCGGAUUAACUAGUUGGCGGGGUAACGGCCCACCAAGGUGAUGAUCCGUAGCCGACCUGAGAGGGUGACCGGCCACAUUGGGACUGAGACACGGCCCAAACUCCUACGGGAGGCAGCAGUGGGGGAUAUUGCACAAUGGGGGAAACCCUGAUGCAGCGACGCCGCGUGAAGGAUGAAGUAUUUCGGUAUGUAAACUUCUAUCAGCGGGGAAGAAGAUGACGGUACCCGACUAAGAAGCCCCGGCUAACUACGUGCCAGCCGCUGC
rnacentral:rRNA from 1 species